rnacentral:sRNA from 1 species
AAAAAAACAGAGAAGAGCAGCUGAGAGACAGUGAGAAAGAGAUGGGAAAGGGAAAAAAAAA